rnacentral:lncRNA from 1 species
CGAAUUGCAAGAUGAUUUUGUCAUGAUCUGAUUGGCUUGUCGGCUGAGAGGUUGUCGGUCCACCAGCUGGCUGUUGAGUUGCAGCAAUCAACUGAAAAUUCUUGACAGAUGCAACUGUCACCCGCCCUCGAAAAUUUAGGCACCAGCACUGCAGUUGUUCAUGCCAUCGUGGCGCCUUGUUCUUUAGGACCAGUGGUUUCCCCUUGCCAUCAUCUUCUUCAUUAGUUGAUCCUCCAGCAAUGUCAGAAAAUCGCGAGCUACUGAACUCGGUGGAAUGAUCAAGUGACUUUGAGAAAGAAAUACUGCGAAAUGAAUCCUCGAGGGGCCUUG